rnacentral:SRP_RNA from 1 species
GCCAGGCGUGGUGGCGCAUGCCUGUAGUCCCAGCUACUCAGGAGGCUGAGGCUGGAGGAUCUCUUGAGUCCAGGAGUUCUGGGCUGUAGUGCACUAUGCCAGUCGGGUGUCUGCACUAAGUUCUGCAUCAGUAUGGUGGCCUCCUGGGAGUAGGAGACCAUGAGGUUGCCUAAGGAGGGGUGAAGCAGCCCAGGUCAGAAACGGAGCAGGUCAAAACUUGCGUGCUGAUCAGUAGUGGGAUCACGCCUGUAAAUAUCCACUGCACUCCAGCCUGGGCAACAUAGCGAGACCCAUCUCUU